GAUGAACGCUGGCGGCGUGCUUAACACAUGCAAGUCGAACGGAAAGGCCCAAGCUUGCUUGGGUACUCGAGUGGCGAACGGGUGAGUAACACGUGGGUGAUCUGCCCUGCACUUCGGGAUAAGCCUGGGAAACUGGGUCUAAUAACGGAUAGGACCACAUUUUGGAUGGUGUGGUGGAAAGUUUUUCGGUGUGGGAUGAGCUCGCGGCCUAUCAGCUUGUUGGUGGGGUAAUGGCCUACCAAGGCGUCGACGGGUAGCCGGCCUGAGAGGGUGUACGGCCACAUUGGGACUGAGAGACGGCGCAGACGCCUACGGGAGGCAGCAGUGGGGAAUAUUGCACAAUGGGCGCAAGCCUGAGGCAGCGACGCCGCGUGGGGGAUGACGGCCUUCGGGUUGUAAACGCCUUUCGCUAGGGACGAAGCGUUAUGUGACGGUACCUGGAGAAGAAGCACCGGCUAACUACGUG
rnacentral:rRNA from 1 species